GUCCUCAUAGUUCAAUGGUAGAACAACUCUCUCCUAAGGAGUAGAUAUAGGUUCGAUUCCUGUUGGGGAUACCA
rnacentral:tRNA from 1 species